AGCAAGUUCAACCCAUCUUGGGCCCGUGAAGCAAGUCGGCCCAAGUUCGGCCCAAGCCCAGCAAUUUGCUGUGGGCUUGUAAGGCCUUUGGGCCCACCCGAGUGAUCGUCGACGUCGCCGAAAAUUCGGAUUUCGGCCGCCGUCGCGUCGCCAUCGCGGUGUCCCGGUUCCCGUUUUUAAUCAAGUGAGUAAUCUCACUAAUCCUUGCUUAGUAGACUAAUGAUGCUUAAGGGUUGAUUAGAUUUAAUUAAGUGCAAUUAGGUGGUUAGAUUAGCAUGGAUUAUUGAUUAUUAGUUAAUUGCAUUGCAUAUUAGUUAAGUUAGUGUACUUAGCUAGAGAAUUGCCUAUACUAUUUAUUGACUGCAUCUUGGGAUUUUUCCCGACCUUUAUUGGGCUUCAAUUAGGCAUUACGGGCCUAAAUUGGAUUUUAGUAUUUAUUUAUUAAUUUUCGAAAUUAAUUAUUUAAUUAUUUAUUUUUCGAAAAUUAGGCAAGGAUAGCCGACGACCAGAAUUUCGUGUUGAUUGUCAUGGAGCAGUCCAUUUAUUUAUUUGAGCUUUAAUUUGUGUCAAAUUGAUUUAAUGAUGCAUUUUUAAGUUAGGUUCUUAAAUAAUGCAAUUUUGCCUAUGUGAUUGAGGUUUGGUCGAGUAUCGGUUGUUAGUAUCGAAAGUGAGUUGGUAAAUCACCCGGAGAAUGCACGUGACCCAGUGAAUUGGAGUGUCACCUGGGAAUGACACGUAGCUCGGUGAUUGGAUAUGUCACCUUGGCGAAAAGGUAGCCUUAGAGAAUGUACGUGGCUCGGAGACUCAGUAUGUCUUCCUGGAGAAUGCACGUGGCUUAGUGACAGAGUACGACAUCGUAAAAAGGGUCGGGUGGUACCAUAAAGCCACUAGAUCUUGAAAGGGUCGGGUGGGACCAUAAAGCCACUAGAUCUUGAAAGGGUCGGGUGGGACCGUAAAGCCAUUAAAUCUUGGAAAGGUCGGGUGGGACCAUAAAGUCAUUGAAUAUUGAGAAGGUCGGGUGGGACCGUAAAGCCACUAAAUCUAAAAAAGUUGCUUGGUGGGGCCGUGAUUACCGGCUAUAAAUGAGUUGUGUCCUAAGGAUCGUGAUUCAUAUUUGGGAAUUGAAUUGGAAUAAUUGAAAUGACUGGAAGUGGGCUUUUUGGUAUGUAAUCAACUAGAUCGAUUGAUCAUUGCUUUGAUAUGAUGUUGUGAAUUGAUUGAUUUAAUGUAAAUGACUGGUGAAUGGUCGAAUUGACAUGAAAUUGAUUAGGUCGAUUAAUCGAGAUAUCGAUCCGUGAUGUGAUUGCUUGGGUGCCUAUUGAAUUGUGCUAAUAUGCAGGUAGAAUCUGAGACCAAGAUAAGUCCUCUGACCCUUGCGUGUAUAGGCAGCCCGGUUAGUGUAUUAGUUUCCUAAUCGAGUCUGAGUGGGGUAGAACUUGCUGAGACAUAGUCUCAUCCCAGUUGUGGGACAACAUUUCAGGCUCGUAGAUGAGCCUGUGAAGAAGGAACCAGAAGAGGACGAUGAGCCGGUAAAAGAUGAAGAGGUUGAACGAUGUGAGCUUAGUGAAGAAGAGUCAGAAGAGGAUUAGGAUGAUCCUGAGUUCGACCCGGAUGAGGAUUGAGAUCCCAUCCUCUUUUGUGAACCUUGUGUUAUGUAUAUAGAGUGUGACUAGAAUGUUAUGAAUAGUCUUGUGAAUAGACUUUAAGUUAUGCCAUGUAUAAAGGUUCGGUUGUGAAUUUCAAUAUGAAAAAUAUGGCCUUACUUUUCUAUCCCAUUGUGUUAUUGUCUGGGGAUUUACAACUGCUUCCGCAUGUGCUUAAUAAACAAAAGGGUCGGUGAUACUUAGUCCUAGGAUAUCGCAUUAUAAAAUCGACCAAGUAGAAGGAUGUGUGCGUGCCCAAGGAUCGGGCCGUGACAAUAAGAGAUAGGUUGGUCAGCAUUUUGGCCAGUAGGUCCAGUCACUUGAUAGACAGCUGCUAUUUUUUUCUCCUUGUCUUCGGGCUUUCCAUGUAAUUUCCAACAGCUGCUAUUUUUUUCUCCUUGUCUUCGGGCUUUCCAUGUAAUUUCCAACAGCUGCUAUUUUUUUCUCCUUCUCUUCGGGCUUUCCAUGUAAUUUCCAACAGCUGUCAAUCAUAUGGUUAGAAUGCUUGCAAUAAUCGUAAAACAUUUUACCUUUUGCCUUAAAAGUGGGUCGGAAAUUCUUUGAUGACAUGGCAUAUAUCUGGCCGUCCACUCCUUUAGUCGCGGAGUCAUAUCCAUCUGCGCCUUCAGAGCUAAGAAGAUCGUUCGAUUCGUGUCCACGAUCCGGUUCGUCCAAUCCGCGCCCACGAUCUGGACCGUUAGAUCCUCGCAUCAAAUCCCGGCCGUUCAUCUGUCUCUUUUAAAGAAGUGAGCGACGUCUCCUCCUCUAAACCCUACUGCGCCUAUUCUGUCUCUCUCUUGAUUUAGGGUUUUUAUAGAUCCAUCUCUGCGUUCGCCGUGGGCUGCGAGGGCGAUGUUGUCGCCGUUCCUCGCAUGUUCCGGCGACGCGAGUCAUUGGCUCUCCUCCUGCACAGCCAACUGGUAGAUUCGUCCAAUCAGAGGGACAUGAUCCAUGGCCAGGAUCUGUGAACGAAAGGUAAAGUAAGUCUCGUUCAAAAUUAGUAAGAAAUGUGUAGCCUUUUCCCUUUCUUUGAUGGAACAAUACUGCUUUAAUGUGGAUUCUGGUCCCUUCAGCUUUUCCUCGAUCGCUUCUAGCUGGUUCCAUAAAGACGAUAACUUGUUGAAACAAGCCGUGACCGUCAUAUUCCCCUGUUUGAGAUUGCUUAAUUCCUACAUGAGUGAAUUUUUUUUGGCACGAUCGAGUUUGCCGUACAUUUCUUUAAUAUUCUCCCACAUCCUUUGAGCGUCUUCUAUGGGUGGAAGUCCGACCGCGACUUCUGGAGAAAUGCAAUUGCCGAUCCAAGUUCGGACAAGCUUAUUGCAUUUCCUCCAGUGUGGUGCUAGACGCUCGUUUGAAGGAAUAGCGAUGGUUCCAUCGAGGAAUCCAUCUUUGUCCUUUGUCACCAUCGCACGUCGGAAUUCCUGCGACCACUUGGAGUAAUUUUCGUACCCGGUAAGUUGCUGGCUGAUUAACUUCAAUUCAGGUCCGUCGGCGGUGGAAAGUGUCACGCCCUGAUCCUCCGAGCGCGCGACCAUCCCACUUUGGUCGAUACAAAUGCGACUUCCCAGGACAUGUCGCCGACCCAUUCAUUUUUAUUGCACAUGCGGAAGCGAAACAAAUCCCCUGACAACAUCUAACUUGGGAUAGAAAAGCAGGCAAUCAAUCACAACCAAACAAGCUUUCUAUAAACACAUAGGUUUAUAUACAACACUGGAUGGUCUACAAAAUAGAUAGGCUCAACAACUAGGGAACUAUCCUAUGACCAACUUGUCAGACACGUUCGCCGAUUCUUCAGCCUCCACCUUCCGAACUCCAGGACUUCCGGUCCUCCACGACCGUCAUCUAGAGACCUGAAAUAUUAUCCCACAACCGGGAUGAGACUAUGUCUCAGCGAGUCCUACCAUUUAAAACUCAAUUAGGGAGAAAAUACGCCUCAGGGCGCUCUAGCCACACAAAUAGGAUAUAUGACUUACCUCUCCUCAGUCCCUUUCCUGCACGUCAGUACAAUUCAUAUUCAAACAAUGCUCGCACAAGCUGAAACUACCGACACACCCAUCGGUCUAUCAAUUCAAUCAAUCCAAUUGAUAUCAUACGAUCCACAUAUCUAUCAAUUCAUACCAUCUAUUAAACCAUACCAUCUAUUCAUCCAUCAAUACAUUCACGGCUCACACAAGCUGAAAUGGAUGCAAUGCUCUCACAAGCUGAUAUAGAUGGUAGCUCGCACAAGCUGAUAUAUACAUAGAUGGUAGCUCACACAAGCUGAUAGAUAGAUCAUGCUCGCACAAGCUGAUAAAACGAUCUUAGCUCACCAGAAGCUGCCGCAAUAUUCAAUAUAGUAUACUAUAGCUCACCAGAAGCUACCGCAAUAUUCAAUACAGUAUACUAUAGCUCACCAGAAACUGCCGCAAUAUAUGUAUAUUAUAAUUGCUCGCCCAAGCUGAUACAUAUAUAUAAACAAAUGCUCGCCAAAAGUGAUCAUUCAAUAAUAAACCAUAGAACUGGAUAUUCAAUCCAAUAACAACCAACGAUUCAAACUAGUCAUACAAAUCAAUUACGGUGCUAAAAGCCAACACCGGGUAUUUUCAAGUUAAAUACCACAACUUCAUCAAUUUCACACAAUUCCACACUUUUGGAAUUAUUAACCAUAAUCAUCAAUCACUCAAUUUCUCAAUUUAAACAUACAAUUAACAGAAACCGACCGCACUGCUGCGAUCAGCGCGAAAUUCUAACGACCGGCCAUCCCGGCAUAAUUUUCGAAAUUAUUAAAUAAUUAAAUAUUAUAUUAUAACAAUAUAAUUUAAUAAAAUAAUAUUUAAAAAUUCGAAAUAAUUAAUUAAUUAAAAAUAAUUAAUUAGGGCUUAAACAAGAUUACACUGAUUUAAUCAUACAAUUAGCCCUAAUUAAACAUCCAUUAAACUAAGCAUACAACUAAUCUAAUUUACAUUAAAAUAAUCUAAUUUAAUCACAUAAACCUAAUUAGACUAAUCUAAACACACCUUAAGCGUCAUUAACUCACUAAGCAAGAAUUAGAGGAUAAACUCACCCGAUUAACGAUCUGAACGGUUCAAAACGACAAGGACGACGCGAGGGUCGAUAGUCUCCAAGGCGGGCCUAGCUUCCGGGGUUGGGAAGCCGGCCAAAACGGGCCAAAUAGCCGCUGUCAUACCCAUUUUUCAACUCACUGAUCGCUGCUGGUUGAGGGCGGAUCCGGCACCGGUUGAGGCGCACAAGGGCCAAGAUGGACGGAGGAGACCAAACCGGACCUAGGCGGGGCUCCACGGAGGUCGGAGGGAGCUCCGGCGGUGGCUCACGGUGCUGGACAGCAGCUCUAGACGCACACUAGACAGGAACGACUGCUGAAAUGGCGGGCUUGGCGUGCGUGGACGGCGGGUGUCGCGAGUGGUGGACGGUGGCAAGCGGGGCGCGACGGCGGUCCAACUGGACUGCUGGCUGCUCCGGCAUCUUCCCAGAUCUGCUGGGACACGAGCAUCAACUGGAGAUGGAGAAGAGAGGGCUUCGACUACGGCUGAAGAGGGAGAGGGAGCCGGUUGCGCGCGGUGAGGCGUGGGACUACGACGGCGUGUAGCGGCGGCGAUCGACGACGGGCGGAGCUGCUCUGGUUCGCUGGUCUUCAGCUUCUUUGGCUUGCUGCGUUCUUCGAGCAACAAGAAGAAGAUGGAGGGGAGGUCUCGACGGAGGAGAGAGAGAGAGAACCGGUUUCUCUCUCUUUCUCUUUCUCUUUCUCUUUCUCUUUCUUUUUCUCUUUCUCUUUCUCUCUCUCUUUUUGGCCCCACCAUGACAUCACAGAUGAUGUCACCUUCCACUAUCUCCCACAACCUCAUUCCAAUGGUUGCAAUUUCAUUUUCCGCCAUGGCAUAAAAUCUUGUACACUUAAUUCAAUCAAUUCUCAAUCAAUUCCAUCCAAUUGAAGCUCAAUUAAAUUAACCCAUGUGUCCUUGGCCUUCUCACGACAUUUCCCCAUCAAAUGAUCAAACUUGCAUCCCGAUGAUUCAAUUAAAAACGACCCUCUGACAAUCCCGAACAUAAACGGCCUUACUUUGCUUUUCUGCCAAAAAUCUCGGUUUGUAGAAAAAUCUUCUGGAGAUGAGUCGACGUUCCUAAAAUGAAUUGUGACUUGACAGAACUUCCAAUUUCUGUAAUCGGGUUCAAUUUCACAGUUAAAUUCAAUCUGGCACGACUUUAGCGCGUCCUAAUCUACCGGGUAGCUUUUAGGAAUUUUCUGUGCAAUUGAUCUGUGGUUGAUUAUUUUCAAGCCACAAAGUGCAUCUUCGACACAUUGGCGACUCUUGAUUGUCGUAGAAAUCUCGAGGUUUCAAAUACGGACACAGGGUACCAAAACGAUAGAGAAAUCGGUCUAGUGCCGAUCAACAAGAAUUGUGCAAUUAGAUGGAAUCACCCAUACUGAAUUACAUGGUUCUGUUGAAUCGACCUAUCUCCGGUCUCUAAUCGGUUUGUGCCGUAAUGACCCUUGCAGAUUAGUACGGUCGAGCAGUCGUUUCCUGGUCGAAUUUUCAAGUCUAUUGCGUUUAGAUUCCUUAACGGCUUCACCUGAUAGACCAGUUAUCUCGUGAGUGAUCAGCUCAGAGAAGAAAGCUAUAGACACGAAGAUGAAAUGCCCGACUUAUUUAAUUGAAACCAGAAUUGGAAAAUCGGGAUGUCACAGAAAGAAACAGGGGGUUGCCGGAUUCUGGCCGUCCGAUGAAAAUUGAUCCUAAAAACGACAAAAAUCCGGGUGAGAAGCCCCGGUAGGGAUUCGCUCCUAUACCCAGAUUCGAACCGGCUCCAUAACCCACAUUGAAACUGGUCGGGUAUGGGUUUCCUCCAUUACCCGAACCGUUGGAUCCAUCUGUGUGACAUCCCAGAUUUUCAACCCUGUCUUCUACUGAGUAAAUCGAGCAUUUCAUUGACACGUCUAUAGGGCUAUUCUCAGAACUGAUUACUCUCGAGAUAACUAGACUAGCUGGGAAAGCUAUUUCGGACUUUAAAACAAAUGGACUUGAGAAUUCGAUCAAGAAUCGGCUUCUCGACGUGCUUAUCUUUAAAGGCCAUUACGGCACAGUUAAAAAAAAAAUCGAUUUGUGAUCAAAGAUAGGUCUAUUCGACUGAGUUGUGUGACCAAUCGUGGGUGACUCCACUAAAUUGGAAAAUUCUCAUCGAUCGAUACUAAUAUGAUUUUACUGUCAUUUUGGUACCAUGUGUCCAUAAUUGAAUCCUUGAGAUUUUCACAACAAUCGAGAGUCGCCAUUGAAUCGAGUGGGUUCAUAGUAGUUCGAAGAAAAUCAACCAUGGGUCAUUUGCCUUAAAAAGUUAUGAAAGCCACUCGGUAGUCUAGGUCACGCUAAAAACACGUCAAAUGGAAAUUAACUGCCGAUUCGAGUCCGAAUUCAGAAAUUGAAGGUUCUGUCAUGUCACAAUAAAUUCUAGGACCCACGACUUAGUCUCAGAAGAUUUUUCUGACAACCGAGACUUUUUGGGAAAAAGUCAGUUUAGGGCUGUUUUCGUUCAGUUGAAGCCGGGGGAUUAAUUCUGGUUGCGGAAUUGAAGAGCUUGAGGAAUUCUUGGAUGAAGAAAAAUAACCAUUGAGACAUUGGGACAUCAAUUCAAUUUAUGUGAGUCAAUUGAGAGAGAAUCAAGAGGGAGUUGAUGAACAAUUGAAGCCAAGGAAAGCCAAUUUCGUAACUCCCCUCCCCCUAGCCCAAAAUUGACCAAUUGAGAAGUGGUGAGGGGUGUAUGUGUGGGUGAUUGUGAGCCAAGGAUGAUACUUGGCCAAGAUUGAGUUAGACUUGUGGAAAAUAUCAAGCCAAAGGGUCCCUCACUGAUCUCUCACUUAUCUCUAAUAUCUCUCCCUCACCCCACCCCAUCGUUCAUCUCCAUCCUCUCCCUCUCGACUUCUUCCUUUCUGCCCUGUUCCACUUUCAUUUUUUCGGUUGACAACAUGCAGCUCUUCCCUUUGAAAGCUGAAGUCCACGUCUCUUUGCCCCACCGUUCUUGCCAGCCACACGCCAACCCCCACUACCGUUGGUCCCCUUCGAUCCCAUCUCCUCUCUUUGUGUCUUCUUCGGUCAGAAUUUCCCCAGCUAAGACCACGGAUCUCCAUGGUUGCUGCCACAUGUCCAUGAAAAACCUCUCUUCGGUCAAGCUUCUUCUCCAGUGAGGCGUGGUUGACCGAAGCUGUCAGCGGACGCCCUCCUUCUCCACCGAGUUUUGUCGGCCACCGAAACAGCUUCAACUUAAUCCACCGAAGCUUCAAUCAACAUCCUUGCAAGCAGAACUCCUUUGUUGACCGUUCCCCCACUCGUCCAACAGCAAGUGUGCCCACCAUCACUUGUUUUCUUCCACCGAGCGUCCAGCAUCUUCGUCCGUGUCUAUCGCACGAAGCAGCCCCACUCUUCGUGCCUUCAGCUCCCUCGGUCGAAGACCCCAACGAAGCCAGCCGUGAAUUUCAGCUUCUUCAGAUCGUGGGCUUUGCUGCUCCUCUUGCACGUGAAGUUCAGCCCACUUGAAGCCUGCAUCAAUUCAGCCCAUGAUUAGCCCAUUGAAGACCAGACCCAUAAAUUGAGUCUUCAGCCCCUCUUGAAGCCCAUUUUGCAGCCCAAGCCUGCAAAGCAAGUCAGCCCAAGCUCAGGCCCAAGUUCAGUUCAAGCCCAGAAAUUUAUGCGGGCUUGCGAGGCUUUUGAGCCCAGCCCGAGUGUCCGCCGACACCGCCGGAAGUUUGGAUUUCGGUCGCCAUCGCGGUGUUCCAGUAUUCGCUUUGCACAAGUGAGUAAUCUCACUAAUCCUUGCUUAGUAGACUAAUUAUGCAUAAGGGUUGAUUAGAUUUAAUUAAGUGCAAUUAGGUGGUUAGAUUAGAAUGGAUUAGUGAAUAUUAGUUAAUUGCAUUGCAUAUUAGCUAGGUGGUUAGUGUACUUAGCUAAAGAACUGCCUAUACUAUUUAUUGAAUGCAUCUCAGGAUUUUUCCCAACCCUUAUCGAGCUUCAAUUAGGCAUUACAGGCCUAAAUUGGAUUUUUUUAGUAUUUAAUUAUUAAUUUUCGAAGUUAAUUAAUUAAUUAUUUAUUUUGGAAAAUUAGGCUGCGAUAGCCAACAACCGGAAUUUCGUGCUAAUUGCAGUGGUGCUCUCUGUUUAUUUAAUUGAGUACUUGGUUGUGCAAAUUGAGUGCAAAUAGUAGUUGUGGGUAUUUAUUUCAGAAAUUGGAUAACUUUGGUAAUUGAGUGGAAAAUUCCCGAGCGUCGGUCUACAGCGUCAAAAAUCUAUUUUUGUACUAUUGAAAUGAGUGGGUGAAUAAAAAGGAAAUUAUUGUAUUUUAGCUAAGGCCGACCAUGUACCCACACACAUGUACUUUUAUCAAAUAUGAUGAAAAGGGUAAAAUUGAUUGUGUAUUCAGAACCAAAAAAAAAAAAUAAUACUAUAACGGCUUGAUGAUUCGUAUGUCAUCUGGAGAAUGGACGUUAUACUAUUACAGCUCGAUGACUCUCAUGUCAUUUUGAGAAAGAAUUGCUUGUAUACCGGCUCAAUGACCCUAUAGGUCAUCUUGGAGAAUGGACAGUAUUAAAUGUCGGCUCGGUGAUUCUAUAGAUUAUCUUAGAGAAUGGACGACAUGCCAUAACGGCUCGGUGACUCAACAUGUCAUCUUGGAGAAUGUAAGUUAUCAUGAAUAUGCUCGGUGACUCUAUAUGUCAUCUCGGAGAAUGAAUAUUAUAAUAUAUUAGCUUGGUAACUCAAUAGGUUAUCUUGGAGAAUGAAUAAUAUGUUAUAGUGACUUGGUGACUUAGUGUGUCAUCUCGGAGAAUGAAUCGUAUAAUAUACUGGCUUGGUUACCCGAUGGGUUAUUUUAGAGAAUGGACAGUAUUGAUUGAAAUGACCAAGAAUGGUCCGUUUGAUAUAUAAUCGACUAGGUCGAUUGAUCGAGAUAUCGAUCUGUGAUGUGACUGCUUGGGUGCCUAUUGAACUGUGCUAAUAUGCAGGUGGAAUCUAAGGCCAAGGUAAGUCCUCUGACCCGUGCAUGCAUAGGCAGCUCGGAUAGCGUAUUGGUUUCCUAAUCAAGUCUUAGUGGGGUAGAACUUGCUGAGACGUAGUCUCAUCCCGGUUGUGGGAUAUCAUUUCAGGCCCGUAGAUGAGCCUGUGGAGGAGGAACCAGAAGAGGACAAUGAGCCAGAAAAAGAUGAAGAGCUUGAAGGAUGUGAGCUUAGUGAAGAAGAGUCAGAAGAGGAUCAUGAUGAUCCUGAGUAUGACCCGAAUGAGGACUGAGAUCCCAUCCUGUCUUGUCAGACCUUGUUUGCAUGUGAAUAGA
rnacentral:lncRNA from 1 species